rnacentral:rRNA from 1 species
CCUACGGGAGGCAGCAGUGGGGGAUAUUGCACAAUGGGGGAAACCCUGAUGCAGCGACGCCGCGUGUGGGAAGACGGUCCUCUGGAUUGUAAACCACUGUCCCCAGGGACGAAGAUGACGGUACCUGGGGAGGAAGCUCCGGCUAACUACGUGCCAGCAGCCGCGGUAAUACGUAGGGAGCGAGCGUUGUCCGGAAUUACUGGGUGUAACGGGAGCGUAGGCGGGACUGCAAGUUGGGUGUCAAAUCUACCGGCUCAACCGGUAGCCGCACUCCAAACUGCAGUUCUUGAGUGAAGUAGAGGCAGGUGGAAUUCCUAGUGUAGCGGGGAAAUGCGUAGAUAUUAGGAGGAACACCAGUGGCGAAGGCGGCCUGCUGGGCUUUUACGGACGCUGAGGCUCGAAAGUGUGGGGAGCAAACAGGAUUAGAUACCCUGGUAGUC